rnacentral:lncRNA from 1 species
CACACACACACACACACACACACACACACACACACACACACACACACACACACACACACACACACACACACACGUUUAAUUACAUUUCUGUCAUUUACAGCCAAUAAUAAUCAUGUGCAUACGCUAAGUGGUCUGAACAGUAACAUGCAACUGGGCUGAUUGCAUGCAUUUUCUAUCAGUCAAUCAAUCAAUCAAUCAAUGAAAUGUAUUUAUGAAGUCCUUUUUACAUCAGCCGAUGUCACAAAGUGCUAUACAGAAACCCACCCCAAAACCCCAAACAGCAAGCAAUGCAGAUGUAGAAGUUAUUGAGUAAAUAUGGUGAGAGCAAAGGAAGAGGGGGAAGGUGCCUGUUGAAGUACAGAUAGAGGGCCGUGGUGAUGUUGAAGUGCAGAUAGAGGGCCGCGGUGGUGUUGAAGUACAGAUAGAGGGCCGUGGUGAUGUUGAAGUGCAGAUAGAGGGCCGCGGUGAUGUUGAAGUGCAGGUAGAGAGCCGCGGUGGUGUUGAUGUGCAGAUAGAGGGCCGUGGUGGUGUUGAAGUGCAGGUAGAGAGCCGCGGUGGUGUUGAUGUACAGAUAGAGGGCCGCGGUGGUGUUGAAGUGCAGAUAGAGGGCCGUGGUGGUGUUGAAGUGCAGAUAGAGGGCCGUGGUGGUGUUGAAGUGCAGGUAGAGGGCUGCGGUGGUGUUGAAGUGCAGAUAGAGGGCCGUGGUGGUGUUGAAGUGCAGAUAGAGGGCCCUGGUGGUGUUGAAGUGCAGAUAGAGGGCCCUGGUGGUGUUGAAGUGCAGAUAGAGGGCCGUGGUGGUGUUGAAGUGCAGAUAGAGGGCCGUGGUGGUGUUGAAGUGCAGAUAGAGGGCCGUGGUGGUGUUGAAGUGCAGAUAGAGGGCCGUGGUGACCAAGAUCAGCAGCACUACUACCAGUCUGAUAGUGAAAGCUGUCAUAGGAGAGGCUGCAACAGAAACACAUUUGAUAAGGAAGUGGAUUGAUUAUCAUGAGAUCCGUCUAGGGAAACUCUGACAAAGUAAAAAGUCUGGUUCGUUCUCAAUUACCUGUGACAGUGAGGGAGAGGAGCUCACUCUCAGAGGAGAUGUUAUGAGACUACUUGGACAAAAAAAAUACGCUUUGUGACACUGUGAAGAAGCAUUAUGGCCAUCAUAAUCCUAUAACCCAGGCCUCUCACGUACAUGCCCUUAUGUCAGUCAUCAGUUAAAAAGAGGGUGUCUUGUCCUGCUCCUGAAAUCUGCUCCUGCAUUCAUCCCAGUCAUCAGAAACACAGCAUUGGGGUAGGUGCAUGUCUGACAUCAAUGUGUGCACAAUUACAAUGAUAAUUUAAUAUGGUAAUAAAAAAAAUAUAUGUAUACAACGGAAAUAUACCGUUGAACGGUAUGGUGUAA